rnacentral:misc_RNA from 1 species
AGGAAGUGUACCAGUUUAGUCAUUGAAAGGUAAAAAAUUUUUUUCUUGCAAACAUCAUGCCCGUACGAAUAUAGUGAAGUCGAAAGAAACAUGAUAACAUCAUCCGGAUACUUACUUGCUGGAUCAAUUCAAUUAUUAUGUCACAUCUUUGAAAUAUGUGAUCAUUGAGAUGAGAAAGUAAAGUCAAAUAAAUUUUGUUUGUAUUGAGAUAACGAUUGAAAAAAUCACUCUAAAGAUUACUAUAUCAAUUUCAGCGCUGUAAAUUCAAAAACAUUGAAUACUGCAAGACAUGCUAACUCAAUCGCUUGUUGAUCAUCUUCAAGAUCAAUGGGGGUACCAGAAUCACCACUGCUCGAGCUGGAGGUACUAUGGCGACGUGAGCCCAGCUAUGCCAUGCAAUGUUAGCCAAGCCAUCAAAAUUAAUUACAAAUGAACAGAAAUAAUUAUCACAAAACGAUUUGGAAGUUGAAUAACAUUUACGUUGUUAUCAUUAACUGAACGAUCAACGAACAAAAUAAACGGUAGUAUGAUCUUGGGAUAAUUUUAAUUAGCGAAUCUUAUGAGCAAUGAGCAUUACAUUAUUGCCUGAUACUGAUGAUUACUGGAGUAACUGCUUUUAUCUUCAAAUGAUCAAAACACAUUGUAUGCAUGAAUUACAAAACUAGUGUCAGUAUUCAUUUAGGCAUCAUUUUAUUAACGUGACAUUUGAGCUUUGAGUAAUUUGUGAAAUAAUAAAAUGGCUAUAGUAAUGCGUGUAGCAUUAACUGUCGUUUAGCACAACAGAUGCACAUGCCUAAUCAAAUAUUGCAAAAUCAAGACAAAAAAGAAUAAUGAAUCUGAUGCAUUACCUGUUCUCCUGAAAGAACGUGACUGGUAGUUCUGACUUCUUGAGUAACAACACGUUGCUCUUGCCACGUUGCACUAGUGGCAGUUGUGUGUGCUACUGUCUUUUCUUCCACC